CACGUAGGGGGCAAGCGUUGUCCGGAUUUAUUGGGCGUAAAGAGCGUGUAGGCGGCCAGGUAGGUCUGCUGUGAAAACUCGAGGCUCAACCUCGAGACGUCGGCGGAAACCAUCUGGCUAGAGUCCGGAAGAGGAGAGUGGAAUUCCUGGUGUAGCGGUGAAAUGCGCAGAUAUCAGGAAGAACACCCGUGGCGAAGGCGGCUCUCUGGGACGGUACUGACGCUGAGGCGCGAAAGCGUGGGGAGCGAACAGG
rnacentral:rRNA from 1 species